rnacentral:lncRNA from 7 species
UUAAUCUUGUUAAUAGAUGCUAAUAGAUCGUGUUAAAAUAAAACAUGUCUACUAGCUAAGACUUCAAACAUACCUAACUAAUUGGUAGUAUUAGCUAAUUAUUUAAUGCAUAAUUGUUAGCCCAGUGGCAACAUUAGCCGUGAGAAUGGCCUGAGUCACAUCUCACCACAUCCGCGACCGCCCGACCGCGACGCUGAAGGGGAACGCCUCGCCGCCACCGGCGACAGCUGGCGCGAGAGGCUCCGUCGACGGACCUGCUACUCGCUUCCUUCAUCGCCACCUCGGAUGGCAGGCCCCGUUGAAGCACACACACUGGCUGCCUCAGCACCACCUCCGACGCCAAACCCUAACCUGGACUGGCGGGUUCGACACCCACCCAGGCACCAUCGCCUACCCUAAGGUACUCUCCGUCCAAUCCCCGUCCACCUUCUGUGAAUCAAGUUAGACAUGACAAAUCAAUCAAGCACGUUGAUAUCGAGCUUUUUGAUUCUGCGUGAGCUCCAUGCAUUUCCUAUUUUUUUUCCAUCAAUCGUCGUGUAGGUGAUGGAUCAGCACUCCUGUUGCUUAAGUUUCGCUGACAAGGUCAUUAAUGCAUCCAGCGGUGUUUUAUUAUAUUGAUUGUGAUGACCGAUGGCGACGGCUUGGCCUGUGUCAGUCAUUCCCAAUUCGCCGGUUUGCCCCUACAUUUGUUGUGUAGUGUCAUUCUCUCAGGCGUACCUUCUAGAUGGUUGACCUCACGUUACUGCCUUCCUCCCACCACCCCACCCUCCCUAGUUCUUAUUUUUUCUUGGAAAAUGGGAUUUAGAAAAUAAGAUGUUGCUUCAUUUACUUACAUUCCUUGGUAUUGGUAGGUCUUUCAUCUGGAUGCAGGGAGGAGGGAGCUCUGCAGCAAAGGAAGUCUGUAGUCACCAUGGUCCAUUUCAAGAACAGGUACAUGGUGGUGGAGGUCUUUGUAGAUGCAGGCAGAGGUGAUACAGAACAAUACUGUCGCACUGCCUUCUUACUUUGAUUUGGUGCACUUAUGAAACCUUCCAGAAACACACCUUAUUUAUCCAUGUAGUUCUGUCUGUUAUGUCCCUGAUUAAAGUAUUGCUGCAUGUCAAUUUGGACGUACGGUCAGCCUCAUUAUUAUAUAACGUGGCACUUUUGCCACACUGCAAUACUAAUAAUAACAUGUAGUCCUUAAGAAAAGGGCCGCUAGCUCUCUCUCUCUCUUUUUGUUAUGGCCGAACUGCCUCAGUUGAGCUCAUCAA